UGUUAUGCUUCAGUGUUGCGAAAUCGUACGCUAAAUACAUGGAUUACCUGGGUACAAUAAUUCACAUGGAGAUUUUUAUGGCAUCGGUAACCUUGGCAUUUUUCAUAUCAUCGAUCACCCCAAUAACUUUUUUCCGGCAACAAUUGAUCGUCGUGGCAGUCUUGUGUGGAACAUUAUUGAUUUGGCUAGCAUUCUGCUUUAUUGGAGAAAUGUUUCAAAAAAUGAAUGAAGUCAUUGCUUCGGAAAUUUAUGACAGCCCUUGGUAUCUCUUGGAACCGAAAGAUCGUCGACUCGUUCACACAUAUUUGACCAUCAUUCAACGACCAAUUUCCAUCGCAAUUUAUGGAUUAUAUCCGGCGAACUUGCGCUCAUUUCCGGACACGUUGAAUACAAUUUACUCGCAAGCUCAAAUUCUGCGCACCCUUCAACUUAAAAGGCAGAAACAUUAAUUAAUUACCUAUAACUCGCUUAGUUUGAAAAUUAUACUGUCUAGUUGGUAUUUUUAGUUUUUCAAAUUCAAACGUUGGUCUCAUUUGUGAUCUGUCACGAGAAAACUAACCUAGUUUCCAAAACGUAAAUUUUACAGGAAGGGCAUUUGAAGUUUUGAGUCUAUGCAUCAGGCGAUCUAAAAUUUGUAGGUCCGUGAAACUUGCACCACUUUUGGCCCCCAUGAGUGCCAACAUAACCCGAUAUUUUUUUUUCAGAAUCAUCACAUUCAAGGUUGCCAAGUCCAAUAAUCGAAAUUUCCCAAAAUCGAUUUUUUCGAUUUUUUUGAAUUUUUUGCCAAAAAUGUUGCAAAAACUACCCGAGUAUGAAUUAUUAAUGAAGAAUAAGUUAUUAUUAUUAAAUUUAUCACGUUUCUUAACAAAUUUGUUCAAGGUGAAAAGAGUUGAUUUUUCCAGAGUGAACCUCAUUCAAAUUUCAAAAAAACUGCCUAAAUCCUACAAAUGUGAGCCGAUAUCCACAAAAAUUUGUAUGUUGACUCCCCCCGACAUACAUUUCGAGAAAAUCAAAAAAAAAAUUUUUUCAUUUUUUUUGUAGUUGCUCAAUUUUUUUGACCUUAAAUUUAGGGUCAAAAGAAUCGUUCGCGAACGUUUUUAGCACCGCAGGCAGAUUUAGCACCCUGAGUACUACCAAUAUCCACCAUAAAAAAAUAUCGAUUUUUUGGACACUAAGUUGGUUUUCUCGUGACAGAUCACAUUUGAUGAGUAAAAUUUUUCAAUUUUUGGUGCGACUUAUUCAAUAUAAUUUAGAUUAUUAAAUAUACCUAUAGAUUUAAAAAAUUUAGUUUUAAAGUAAGAAAACAUUCAUGUGCACGUGGAUGUUUGUCGCACUAAUUUUGAUUAUUGUAAGUGCACCAAUAUUUUAAGGCGAGCAGGACUUCUUUCAAUUAUUCUUACCUAAGUUAGAUUAGGGGCGUAGCAAAGUGAUUUUACAAGGGGGGGUAAAUUUUAAAAAAUGCCAACUUUGUAAUGUUAAAAAUGCCAACUGCAAAAUCGAUUAAAAAUUUGCUCAAAUAAAACAGCUUUGCUUGUACUUUUUUCGCUCGGGCUAGAAAUUGUGAUUUAAGGUAAUACUCCCAAUUUUUGUAUUUGACCCAAUGUUUUUAUUUAACAUUACUGGAAAUUUAAAAAAAUUGAAAAUUACCUAACGCAAUUUUAUUCAAACUUUUAUGUAUAAUUGGGGAGUAAUUGCAUUGAGCUUAAACAAAAAACGAAAUGGAAUUGACCCAAGCAAAGCUAGGGCAAAAGCUUGCAAAAUUUUAUAACUUGAGAAUCUGAAAAACGUCAUUUUUCAAAGUCAAAAAUGAUAUUUUCCAAUCUUGAUAUUUUUCAAAUUCGAGACUUACCUACCUAAUAUUUUUGUAGAAAUUUAGAAUUGGGAAAGUGAAAGCAAAUGGCCCGAGCGAAGCGAGGGCAAAAGCUUUUAACAAUUUGUAACACAAAAAACCGAAGAACGUCAUUUUUGACGAUAGAAAAUCAUUUUUCUGAUCUUUGCAUUUUUCAAAUUCUUGCAAUAUUUUUCUAGAAAAUGCAAACUUACUGUGAAAAAGGAAAACAAAUUAGCCCGAGCGAAGCGAGGGCCAAAGCUUUUGGAAAUGUACAUUUUAAGAACUAAAAUAGCAUAAAAAGCUAUCACAAUAUGUAAUUGUUUUAUUUGGAAUUUUGGAAAAAUAAAUAAGCAAAUGAAAAAAUGAAUCAAGUAUAAAUUUGUCAACUAAGUAGGUGCAACAUUAUUGGUCAAUUUGCCAACUGAGUCCUCAGGUAUUGUAUCAUGCUCGCAUCAGUUGGCAAAUUUAGAAUAAGAAUAGCCGAAUUAAAUUUAAAUUUAAGGGGGUUGAUUCUGUUGGUUUUAAUUCUCUUCUAUACUCAAUUAAAAAAUUCCAACUUUUUAAGUAAACAAAAUAAAUGAGAAUUGUUGAUUUUCGAACAAAAUGAAUAAUUUCCUUGAAAAGUUGGCAAUUUUGAGUUUCCAAUUCUCAAGUACUCAGUUGGCAAAUCAAAAAUGUACCUACAAUAUAGGUACAUUACAUUUGAAAUUAAUUGUAUGUAGUUGGCAAAUUUAAUUUAAUUUUAACAAUUGCAAAUUGUCAACUUUUCAACUAGAUAAUAAGUAGAAAAUAAAGUUGACAAUUGUGAGUUCUGAAGUUCUCAGUUGGCAAAUCAAGCUGAGUCAAAAACGCCAACUUUUCAACUAAUGAUUAAUUGAAAAGUUAUCAUUUUGGAAUUUUCAUCCUCGAAAACUCAAAAAUGCCAACUUUUUAACUUUUCAAAACCUGCCGGGGGGGACCGUCCCCCCCAACCCCCCCGCUUGCUACG